ACGUCCGUUCCUGAGCACCAUGCAAUGAUGGCAUGCUGCAGCCUGUGCUGGCCGAGGGGUGCUGGGCCAUCCGGCUCCAUGCAGGCAGCGAGCUGCUCCUCUGCUUGUUAACAUUCUGUACAGCGCUGCUGUGUGCUGGAGGCGCAAGUCUCCGGAGUCUCUUGAAUUGUAAAAUCCAUCUGUUAUUGAAGGUAAUUAUUACAAAUGCUGUAGAGACUAAUCUUGCUGAUUCUGCCUGCCGGCAGCAUUGUCCUACAGGGCUGUGCUGGCUGCCGUUCCUGUGCUGUUUUCCCCAUGGCUGUGCAAGAACACCAAACCGACUCCUAUGGUGGCUGUUGCUUUUCCAGCUCAGUUGUUUUAUUUUAGCCUCUUUCUCUCUGCAGUGGUGCUGGAAAUCCUUCUCGUUUAUAAAAUCACACUGUCAAAGGCUGCAUUAUGCGUGGGAGGUGCUCAAUUUUAAAUCUGGACCCACAGUUCAAAGUGACCGCCCUUACGAGGGAGGAAGGCAAAGCUCUCAAAUUAGAACUUCAUGGCUUUGAAAUAAGAUCAGAAUUUAAAUGUUUCAAAGCAGAGCUCCUGCCGGUCGAGUCACUGCUGCUCCCAGCGUUUUAGCACAGAGCAGUUCAGCCAGCAUUAGCCAUAGGCAACGGGUAGUGCUCACAGCAGUUCAGUCAUUGCCACAAGAGUGCUGAUCUGCAGCAGCAGGCACACGUGUCUGAGCCCUAAUGGGGUGUUUUUACACACUGAACUCAUUUACGGCGUUCCAUGCGUUCCUUUUGCUGAAUGUUGCCUUCACUGGAGCAGGCGGACGCUUUGCCAUCAGCAUACUACAAGGUUUACACCAAGGUAAGAGCCAUGCAAGGCUGUGACAGCUGCUUGACAUUGCUGUGCUAUGGAAAAUGGUCCCAAGACCACGCGACACGUCCUGCAAGGAUGAAAUGAGAAGUGCAGUAAGAGGAGAUGGAUUAUACUGCAAAGCUCCUUCUGCCUCAGCCCACCUCUCUCCCUCCCUGCUCCAACCUGGUGUCCUCUGCUGCAGCGCAUCCUUCUGUUCCUGCAGUCACUGUACCCACGUGGGGCCGUGUUGCCCAACUUGUACCGCGAUCAUCUGCGUUUCAAGGAGAGGGGUGCUGCCCUUGUGGGACUUCAGAAAACUCCUCUUCUUCUGGAGAGAGGAUUGUAACGAUUGGGAUUUUUCAACUUCUGCACUGUCAGGUGUUGCUCAGCUGCUGCCCCAGGAACACUUGCUCAGAUCUGGAUGACUGACUUCACUGCAGAGUUACUGCUGAUGGAAAUGCCUUAAAUGGGAGGGGAAGAAAUCCCUCAAAGAAAAGAAACAAGCCAUGCUGAAGGAGGACAUGCCAGCCAGCAGGAUGGGCAGUGCUGUUCUCCAUAGUUGGUGCAGCUGGGCUGCUGCCUCGGGACAGUGCAGGGAGCUGCUCUGGAGGGGCAGAGCUCCUUUCAGUGCAUCCACCUCAUGGGCAGCUACAGAGCGUUGCUGGGUAAGUAACAGCUUUCAUUACUUCUGGGCAGCCUCAGUGGUGUGGAUGGCUUUGCUUUUUGUACUUCUCCAUUCUGGAUGUCUGUGGAAUUGUAAUGGGGCUGGUAGGGUGAUGCUGCUGUUUUGGAAGUCAGCCUUGGAGGAUGAGCAUGGCCUUCUCACAGACACAUCUGUGGGACACUUGGCACGCUGCGGUGCAAACUGGCUAAGGGAGAACUCAGCCAAAAGUGGAACCUUUUCCUGGUGUAUGUAUGUAUUUCUGUGAGAUUUUGGCCUUCAGAAAAGGAAAGAAAAAAGUAAAAGCAAGGCAGAGAAGUUCCAAGUGGAGUUGGACCUAUACCUAAUGGCAAGAGAGCAGUUGGUAUUUGCCUGGUUUUCUGACUUGGUCAGAUAGCCCUGGAGUAAAUGGGAUCCCUGCUUACGCUAUUAGUACUUUUCCAAAGUGGAGGUUCCCUCGUGUUUCUGUAAGAACAGCACGUUCCUGGGCUCAGAACACUUGCUCUGCCCUUAGCGUGCACGUCAAACCUUGCACUCCUCUGACACAAAAGACUGUGAUGUUUUCCUGAAGCCCAACUUUUUGUACUUCUGUUUGCUGGGCUGACGGUGGAACCUCCCCAUGCCUGGAAGUCUGUUGUGACAACCAGCAUUAACCUAUUGAAAGGGUAAGGUUUUAGAUAGAAAUACAUUUAUAUACGUACUUACAGUGGCAGUUUCUGUUUAAAAAUGGUUACAUGUAUCACUAGAAAAAGGGUGAAACACGAGGUACAGUAAGGUGACUUUCCAAGUGAGACGUGUCACAAAACCAAGGAAGUUAGCUGAGGCUCCCAGGUCUCUGGCUACUGCAGAAGUGCCCUAAAUUCCCCUGGUGGGAAAUCAUGCUUUUUUUUUUUUUCUACAUGGGAAACUUAUCUUAACAGACAUAGCAAAAUCCUAACCUGAAUUAGUCUUCAAAUAAUAAAUGUACAUACCACUGCUAUGAGUAUUAACUAGUUACUGUCUAUAGCGCCUUUAAUUUGAAGAUCUGAAAGUGCUUGUAAAGAAUGAACUAACCCCCCUGCGAGGUAGGUAAAUAGUAGUAUCCCUAUUUUACAGAUGGGGAAACUGAGGCAUUAGAGAGGCUACGUGACUUGCCCAAGGUCACAGCUGCUUGCACAAACAGCAGAGAGAUGCUUCAACCAUUCCUCUGAAGGAAAGAGUAAGAAAAUGGAAAAAUGUAAGUAAAAUCUCCAGUAGUCUGACUGCAGGUGAUCUUAAAAAGGAAAAAUAAGGCUGGUAUCAAUCAAAUGUAUUUUUUCCACAAGAUCUUUCAGUUUCUUCC
ensembl:lncRNA